CUCUCUGUACUGCAAUCAAUUUCUUCCAGCUUUCUAAUAUCUCUCCCAUUAAGCCUUCUGAGGAGAGGAACUACACCUGUUUUAUCUUGGUAACUAGCACUUUGCACCAUGCCUGACACAGAGGAGGUGUUUUAAAACUGUCUUUCAAUGGAUUACCACAGAAAAAAGUUGCUCACCUCUAGAAGAUGCUAGAGCAGGUACAGUGGAAAGAGCAUGGACUUGGAGGGCAGACAAAGGCAUGGACUUCGUGUUGAACUGCAGGUUUGAGCCAAGGAAUGGUGAGGUUUCCCAGUCUGGCAGCUGGGCAUCCUCCUCCCCAAAGCAAGAGUACCGGGAUAUGCCAAGGGGUUCUUAAAGCUGGAACUCAUGGAUUUCCCUGGCUGAUUGGAGCAUCACUGCUGCCAGCAAAGCCCAAGGUGUGAGCUCUACAUUAUGCUGAGAUGGCUAUGUACAAGUAUAUCCAGAAUGACGGUGGAUACGUUGAAAGUCCAAUCAACUGUGCUAAAUCUUGAAUCAGUUCUCUCUGUUGCCUUUUGCAGGUUGUUUAAGUUUUGUAUAGAAGUGGAUAUUUUGAACAUUGAAACUGCACAAGGGCUUUAUGGUUGCUCUGCUCACCUCUAUUUCUUCUUCUCCUGCUAGGAAACCCCAUUAUCCUCAGAACAAGUCUCUCCACCUCCUGCUCUUGCCUGAUGCUGUAUGGCUCUGAUGGCUUGUCCUGUGUCCCCUUAGCCCAGGUGCUAAGUGGUCUCUGUUCCCUUAAAAUAACUGUUUUGGGAUGUUAUGGGUCCUGUUUUAAAAAUCCCCUCAUCCCUCUUCUUUUCUCUCUUCUAAAGGGCAGCCUUACCAUCUCCUUUUAAGAACAGAAGUCUUUUCUUUCUGCCUCUUAAAGUCAGUAGCUGGUUUGUCACCCAAUAACAAAAGCCCACAAUAUCCUGACCUCAAAGACUAGGAAGGUAGGUGGUGCUAAGGUCAGGGAUUGGGAGUCUUAGAGAGCCAGCAACACAGUGUCAUCUCUCUGAAAAGUAAAUUUCCAGUAGCUAGCAAGAGAUUUACAAAUGCUGAAAUCUCUUAGUCUACUAAUUCCUUUCAUACAAUCAAAGAUAUGUGCAAAGAUUUAUGUUCAUCAUACUGUCACUCCUCAUAGAGAAAAGCAUGGGAGUAACACCCAUGUCUGUCAGUAGGGCUUGGAUGGAUAAAGUCUAUUAUUGAGUCCUUUGCAAUCAUUCAAAAUCAUGUUUGAAUAUAAUAGAUGGGAAAAUGAUCAUACUAUAAUGCUAAUUGA
rnacentral:lncRNA from 1 species